UUUUGGGGUUAUGCUUUAGAGACGACCGCAUUCACGUUAAAUAGGGCGCCAUCAAAAUCCGUUGAGACGACGCCUUAUGAACUAUGGUUUGGCAAGAAACCAAAGUUGUCGUUUCUUAAAGCUUGGGGCUGCGAUGCUUAUGUGAAGAAACUUCAACCAGAUAAGCUCGAACCCAAAUCGGAGAAAUGUGUCUUCAUAGGAUACCCAAAAGAGACUAUUGGGUACACCUUCUAUCACAGAUCUGAGGGCAAGAUUUUUGUUGCUAAAUUCGGAUCCUUUCUAGAGAAGGAGUUUCUCUCGAAAGAAGUGAGUGGGAGGAAAGUAGAACUUGAUGAGGUAACUGUACCUGCUCCCUUAUUGGAAGGUAGUUCAUCACAAGAACCGGUUCCUGUGACAACUACACCAAUC
rnacentral:rRNA from 1 species